AGAUAAAAUUUUAUAUUUUGAAAAAUUUAUUUUUAAUUUAUUUUACAUAUAAAUUUUAGUGAAUAAUUUUAAUUAUUUAAAAAAUAAUUAAUAAUAUUUUGUAGUAAUUAAUAUUAAAAAUUUAAGAAAUUAAGAUUUAGUAAUAAGAAAAUUAAUAACUAAUUUUGUGCCAGCAGUUGCGGUUAAACAAAAGUUAAAUUAAAUUAAUUCAGUAAAUAAUAAAUAAUAAUAUUAUUUUAAAAAAUAUUAAAUUAUAAGGUGAAAUUUUAAUUUAAUUAAAAUUUAUAUAUAAAUUAUGAUUUAGUAAAUUUUAUUAUAAACUAGGAUUAGAUACCCUAUUAUUAAAAAUUUAAUUAUAAAUACUAAAAUAGUAAAUAAUAAAUAUUGAAACUUAAAUAAAAUGGCGGUAUUUUAGUUCAUUUAGAGGAAUCUGUCUAGUAAUUGAUAAUCCACGAAUAAAUUUACUUAAUAUAAAAUUUUGUAUAUCAUUGUUAAAAAAAUAUUUUUUAAUAAAAAUAAUAUUUUAAAAUUUUGAAUAUAAAUUAAUUCAGAUCAAGAUGCAGAUUAUAAUUAAGAUUAAGAUGGAUUACAAUAAAUUUAUUUAAACGGAAAUAAAUUUUUUAAUAUAAAAUUGAAGGUGGAUUUAAAUGUAAUUUUAAUUAGUUUGUUAAAAUGAUUAAUAAUUGAAAUAUGUACAUAUUGCCCGUCACUUUCAUUUAAAAAUUGAAAUAAGUCGUAACAAAGUAGAGGUACUGGAAAGUGUUUCUAGAAUGAU
rnacentral:ncRNA from 1 species